CAGGGAAACAACAAAAUGAUUAGUAUUAUUAUUUUGUCACCUUAAGUGAAAGAGUAUCUCACGAGGUUAGUUUGAUAAGAAUUUCGUUUCCUAGACUUUUCUAGGNCACACCCUUUAUUUUUCCUGGGACAUUAGAUCAGGUGGGUAAAGCGCACCCCUGAUAAGGGUGAGGUCCCUGGUUCAAGUUCGGGAUGGCCCAUAUCUCUAUGUUGGGGGUAUAGGUCAGUUGGGAGAGCGCCUGCUUUGCAAGCAGGAUGUCAGCGGAUCAAGUCCGCUUACCUCCACUGAUUACCACCUCUUCCAUAACUGGAAGAAAGGAAAUGNUUUGAGUUGUGAUUAUUAUUCUGAACGAAUCUACCUUCCUAAUGAAAUCUUUAAGAUGCUGGACUCAUUGAAUUAAUUUUAUUGUUUUCAGAGAACCUUGACAACUGCAUAGAUUUUUUUAAAAACAAUAAACAUCUUUAAUGAUGACNAUUUAUUAUUUGUGCGAAGGCAUUAAUAACAAUUCUAUUAAGCUGAUGCUUCAAUUUUUGAAGUUAUU
rnacentral:tRNA from 1 species